ensembl:snoRNA SNORA70 Small nucleolar RNA SNORA70
CUGCAGCCAAUUUAUCCAUCUAAACUCUGCUCCUUUCAGGAACCAGCUGUGAGAUGGCUGCAAACAGCAGCCUCCUGGGCAGUGCAUUAGGCUGCCCUAAGAAGCCCUGGAGAUAGCC